AACGAACAGUUGCUGUUCAUCUCGUUUGGGAAUCAAUACUGCGAAACGGUAAGCCCAGCGGUUGCCAAAUAUUUGGUCAAAGACGAGCACAGUCCGUCCAAGUUUCGGGUCCUUGGGGUGCUGAGUAACAUGCCGGAGUUUGGCGAAGCCUACCAGUGCCCUAGCGGCAGCAAAAUGAAUCCAAAGCGGAAGUGUCGCGUGUGGUGAACUGUUGACUGUUGAGUACUUAAGAA